rnacentral:rRNA from 1 species
UACGUAGGGCGCGAGCGUUGUCCGGAUUUAUUGGGCGUAAAGAGCUCGUAGGCGGCUUGUCGCGUCGUCCGUGAAAACUUGGGGCUCAACCCCAAGCUUGCGGUCGAUACGGGCAGGCUAGAGUUCGGUAGGGGAGACUGGAAUUCCUGGUGUAGCGGUGAAAUGCGCAGAUAUCAGGAGGAACACCGGUGGCGAAGGCGGGUCUCUGGGCCGUAACUGACGCUGAGGAGCGAAAGCAUGGGGAGCGAACAGG